CUCAGUAGCGGCGAGUGAAGCGGCAAGAGCUCAGAUUUGAAAUCGUGCUUUGCGGCACGAGUUGUAGAUUGCAGGUUGGAGUCUGUGUGGAAGGCGGUGUCCAAGUCCCUUGGAACAGGGCGCCCAGGAGGGUGAGAGCCCCGUGGGAUGCCGGCGGAAGCAGUGAGGCCCUUCUGACGAGUCGAGUUGUUUGGGAAUGCAGCUCCAAGCGGGUGGUAAAUUCCAUCUAAGGCUAAAUACUGGCGAGAGACCGAUAGCGAACAAGUACUGUGAAGGAAAGAUGAAAAGCACUUUGAAAAGAGAGUGAAACAGCACGUGAAAUUGUUGAAAGGGAAGGGUAUUGCGCCCGACAUGGGGAUUGCGCACCGCUGCCUCUCGUGGGCGGCGCUCUGGGCUUUCCCUGGGCCAGCAUCGGUUCUUGCUGCAGGAGAAGGGGUUCUGGAACGUGGCUCUUCGGAGUGUUAUAGCCAGGGCCAGAUGCUGCGUGCGGGGACCGAGGACUGCGGCCGUGU
rnacentral:rRNA from 1 species